rnacentral:rRNA from 1 species
AUUGAACGCUGGCGGCAGGCCUAACACAUGCAAGUCGAGCGGAUGAAGGGAGCUUGCUCCUGGCUUCAGCGGCGGACGGGUGAGUAAUGCCUAGGAAUCUGCCUGGUAGUGGGGGAUAACGUCCGGAAACGGGCGCUAAUACCGCAUACGUCCUGAGGGUGAACGUGGGGGAUCUUCGGACCUCACGCUAUCAGCUGAGCCUAGGUCGGAUUAGCUAGUUGGUGGGGUAAAGGCCUACCAAGGCGACGAUCCGUAACUGGUCUGAGAGGAUGAUCAGUCACACUGGAACUGAGACACGGUCCAGACUCCUACGGGAGGCAGCAGUGGGGAAUAUUGGACAAUGGGCGAAAGCCUGAUCCAGCCAUGCCGCGUGUGUGAAGAAGGUCUUCGGAUUGUAAAGCACUUUAAGUUGGGAGGAAGGGCAGUAAGUGAAUACCUUGCUGUUUUGACGUUACCAACAGAAUAAGCACCGGCUAACUUCGUG